ensembl:lncRNA
UGAAAACUUAUACGCGAAUGAGUUGGGAGCAGAUGGGAUUCGGAGAGUGAAAGACAAAAGAAUUGAAAGACAAAGUGUCAGAGGGGGCCAAUGCAGAGCUCUCGGGUACAUUAAGCCUGGAAGAGUUGCAUAAGGCCUUUCAAGGCAUGGAUUCUGCGAAAGGAAUUCACAGAUCUUCACUUUCGGACAUCUGAUUCAUGUAGCUGGGAUGGACUUCGAAAGAACGGAAGUGGCGGCCUCUUGUUUAAAGAUCAGGUCUUUGCUAAAGAACUGGAAGUCAAUGGUCAGUAAGGAAGAAAAAGAUUUAUUGGUGGACAGUCAUGGAGAAGUAAACACUUCCAAUACAGAAGACUGUUUUCCUAAUUUUACUAUGUUACCUAAACUGGAUUGGAUGUAGGGGACCUUUUUUAGAUGCUGAAAGACCCUCGUGUUUGGACUUAUGUACAGCCACUGGCAAAGCAUUUUAUAGAAUAUGUGUUAAAAUUUUUAAUAAAAAGAAACUAAAUGACAAAGUUGACAUGCCUUGGCGUAGAGCGCUGGGAGUAGAAGAGAAUGUGAAACCUGAAUGGAGAUCACUGUAUAAGCCACCGUUAUCUAAAAGGGCAGGGGAUUUACACUGCAGAUGUCUUCACUGUGCCGUCGCGGUUAAUGCUUUAAUUUCAGUUCUUAAUCCCGAAGUUACUGUUGAUUGCCCUUUCUGCUCAAAAAGAGAAUCUGUUUUUCAUGCUUUUAUGGAAUGUGACAGACUGAAACCUUUAUUUGUAAUUUUGGAAGAUUUUUUUUUUUGUUAUUAUUUUAGCGAACUGUUUUCCAUGAGGAUUUUUAUUUUUGGUUUCAAAUUUGUUCGAAAUAAAAGGUUUACUUGUCAGCUUUUGAAUUUUGUUUUAGACCAGGUGAAACUGGCCAUCUACGUGAGCAGGAGAAAUAGGGUUGAAAGAUUGUCAGGUGAAGAUGUAGUAAUACUGUUUGUGAAAUUCAGUGAAAUCACAAGUGCUGAUAGAUUUCCAUUUUUAUAAGUCUACGGAGGAUUUACUAAUAUUUGAAAUGAAACGGUGUGGAAAUGGAGUGUUGUGCUCUGUUGUUAAAGAUCAUUUAUUUUUUACACAGUUGGUGUAAUUUUUACAAUUAUUUUUUUUAUUAUUUCUUUGGCACUUAUGUGUUGAGGUAUUAUUGUAAUAAGGUAACAAGUGUAUUAAUUAAGUGUGAUUUAUAGUAAUAAAAGGC